GAACCGUCGGUCAGCUUCGGUCCUACAUGUUGAGAGAUUGACGACGACAUCACCUCUCCUCUCUUCGGUGAUUUCGCGCUGCAAGGCAAAUUUCGAGCACCAAAUUUCGAGCACCAACACCCUAUCGUUCAGUUUUACGGAUCGGAUGCUCCUUUUUCUGUACCCUGGUUGAGCUUGGUCCCCAAAUACCAACUGUGGCCCACUGACCCUUAUCCUUCAUAUCCUCAACAGUUGAAUAAUUGAUUAAUAUUGAUAACCAAGUGGAUCGUAUGUGCUUAUUACUGGCAAUGUUGCUAGGAAAAGUUAGUGCCAACAGAAAGACUGGAAAGAGAUACGACCAGCAUUGAAAUGCAAGCAAUGCAACCAUUCAGCGUCCAUAACCUCUUCUAUUCAACCUCAGAACAGUUAAUUGCAUUUGCUUUAUCCAACGAACGGUUGGCCAAAGACAAGAAAGAUGAACAGCAAUCUUUUGUUUGCAUGUGGGUGAGCGAUCUGGUGCAACUUAGUGGUCAAGUCUUUCUUGUGGGGCCGUUUGUUGCCUUUUUCUCUUUUAUAUGCAUGCACGCACAAGAAGCCAAAGUUCAGAAUAGGUCCCAAAUAGCAGCUGAUUCCUUCUUGGCCAAUAAAUUAUGGAUUGGACAAGUGGUAAAUGGUACAUAAACUGUAUAUAUUACUUGAAGAUUUACUGUUGCAACUGUGUAACCAUAACAUUAAUUUUAUAUGAAAUACGUCCUUUCUUUCUUUA